UAUCUCUGUAGAGUCUGCAUAUCAAUAAGCGGAGGAAAAGAAACUAACAAGGAUUCCCUAGUAACGGCGAGUGAAGCGGGAAGAGCUCAAAUUUGAAAUCUUAAAGGUUUCCCUUGACGAAUUGUAGUUUAUAGAAGUGUUUUCUGUUAGUGGAGUUCGGUAAAAGUUCUUUGGAAUAGGACAUCAUAGAGGGUGAGAAUCCCGUAUUUGACCGUUACUUCCCUAGCUGUGUGAUACACUUUCAAAGAGUCGGAUUGUUUGGGAAUGCAGUCCAAAAUGGGUGGUAAAUUUCAUCUAAAGCUAAAUAUUGGCGAGAGACCGAUAGCGAACAAGUACCGUGAGGGAAGGAUGAAAAGAACUUUGAAAAGAGAGUUAAACAGUACGUGAAAUUGUCGAAAGGGAAGCGUUUGACACCAGUGUUGUUUAGUUCGAAAAUCAAUUACGAAUAGUUUUCGAUUUUGAGGAGUAUUGACCUUAUCAGGCUUGCUGCUUUCUUCUACGAAAUUAUUUAAUGCACUUUUCAGGUUAACAAGUCAACAUCAAUUUCUUUUGUUGUAAAAGGGUAUGAGGAAGGUGGCUUUCUCUUCGGCGCAAGUGUUUAUAGCCUUUGACUUCUGCAAUCGGAGAGAUUGAGGUCUGCAGCGUAGAUCCUUCGGGGUUAGAUGACAUUUGUGCUAAGCUAUAGCCUUGUAUAGACAACUUGUUGACUAUGCUCAGUCAUGUAGCUUACUCGCUUAUGCUAUUUUACCUACGCUUAGGAUGUUGACGCAUGAGAUAUACGC
rnacentral:rRNA from 1 species